rnacentral:rRNA from 1 species
UGGGGAAUUUUGCGCAAUGGGCGAAAGCCUGACGCAGCAACGCCGCGUGCGGGAUGAAGGCUCUCGGGUUGUAAACCGCUUUCAGCAGGGAUGAGACUGACAGUACCUGCAGAAGAAGCCCCGGCUAACUACGUGCCAGCAGCCGCGGUAAUACGUAGGGGGCAAGCGUUAUCCGGAUUCAUUGGGCGUAAAGCGCGCGUAGGCGGCUUGUUAAGUCAGGCGUGAAAACCGGGGGCUCAACCCGCGGCUUGCGUCUGAAACUGGCAGGCUUGAGUCUGGUAGAGGAAAGUGGAAUUCCUGGUGUAGCGGUGAAAUGCGCAGAUAUCAGGAGGAACACCAGUGGCGAAGGCGGCUUUCUGGGCCACGACUGACGCUGAGGCGCGAAAGCUAGGGGAGCGAACAG